CCCUUAGAUGUCCUGGGCUGCACGCGCGCUACACUGAUGCAUGCAACGAGUUUAUAACCUUGGCCUGAAAGGUCUGGGUAAUCUUUUGAACGUGCAUCGUGAUAGGGAUAGAUUAUUGCAAUUGUUAAUCUUGAACGAGGAAUUCCUAGUAAACGCGAGUCAUCAGCUCGCAUUGAUUACGUCCCUGCCCUUUGUACACACCGCCCGUCGCACCUACCGAUUGAAUGGUUCGGUGAAGAUCUCGGACUUCGAUAUUUAUUCUUUAUUGAGUUUAUAUUGUGGGAAGUUAUCUAAACCUCAUCAUUUAGAGGAAGGUGAAGUCGUAACA
rnacentral:rRNA from 1 species